rnacentral:rRNA from 1 species
ACAGUGGACGCGAGCAUCUGUGGCCAAGUUUUUAAGGGCGCACGGUGGAUGCCUUGGCACCAGGAACCGAUGAAGGACGUGGGAGGCCACGAUAGUCCCCGGGGAGUCGUCAACCAGGCUUUGAUCCGGGGGUUUCCGAAUGGGGAAACCCGGCAGUCGUCAUGGGCUGUCACCCGCUGCUGAACACAUAGGCAGUGUGGAGGGAACGCGGGGAAGUGAAACAUCUCAGUACCCGCAGGAAGAGAAAACAACCGUGAUUCCGGGAGUAGUGGCGAGCGAAACCGGAUGAGGCCAAACCGUAUACGUGUGAGACCCGGCAGGGGUUGCGUGUGCGGGGUUGUGGGAUCUCUCUUUCACAGUCUGCCGGCUGUGAGACGAGUCAGAAACCGUUGAUGUAGGCGAAGGACAUGCGAAAGGUCCGGCGUAGAGGGUAAGACCCCCGUAGUCGAAACAUCAGCGGCUCGUUUGAGAGACACCCAAGUAGCACGGGGCCCGAGAAAUCCCGUGUGAAUCUGGCGGGACCACCCGUUAAGCCUAAAUAUUCCCUGGUGACCGAUAGCGGAUAGUACCGUGAGGGAAUGGUGAAAAGUACCGCGGGAGCGGAGUGAAAUAGUACCUGAAACCGUGUGCCUACAAGCCGUGGGAGCGUCGG